GACCGCGUAGCUCAGUUGGAAGAGCAUUGGGCUAGUAUUCCAAAGGUCGUAGGUUCGACUCCAGCCGUGGCCA